rnacentral:lncRNA from 1 species
UGAAUCAUGAGAUGUUUCAAGUGCAAAUGAUGGUGAUAGUAUGUUAAAGAGGAGAAGUGAUUCAAAGGUUUUUGGGUGUUCAACAUGUCUCCUGUUAUCAUAAUUUACGUAUUUGUAUUAUUGAGAUUUUAUAUUAUUUUUCGAGAAUUUAUAUUAAUUCAUUUGAAUUUAUAUUUUAAUUAAACUAGUUACGAAAAGUGAAGUUUGGAAAUUAAUUAUUUAAAAUCCGUAGACCGUUUGAGGUCACAAUUUAUAUUUUUGAAAAGAGCUCGAUCUCACGAAUGCAUAGGCACAAACUGUUUGUGAAACAGAGUUAUAACGAAGAAGUUAUUAGCGCUUAAA